rnacentral:rRNA from 1 species
UACGAAGGGGGCUAGCGUUGUUCGGAUUUACUGGGCGUAAAGGGCGUGUAGGCGGCCACCGCAAGUCGGUUGUGAAAUCUCUGGGCUUAACCCAGAAAGGUCAACCGAUACUGCGGGGCUAGAGUGCAGAAGGGGCAACUGGAAUUCUCGGUGUAGCGGUGAAAUGCGUAGAUAUCGAGAGGAACACCUGCGGCGAAGGCAGGUUGCUGGGCUGACACUGACGCUGAAGCGCGAAAGCUAGGGGAGCGAACGGG